GGGCCCGUAGCUCAGUAGGAUAGAGCGGCGGAUUCCUAAUCCGUAGGUCGGGUGUUCGAAUCACCCCGGGCCCA
rnacentral:tRNA from 1 species